GGGAAUAUUGCACAAUGGGCGAAAGCCUGAUGCAGCAACGCCGCGUGAGUGAUGAAGGUCUUCGGAUUGUAAAGCUCUGUCUUUUGGGACGAUAAUGACGGUACCAAAGGAGGAAGCCACGGCUAACUACGUGCCAGCAGCCGCGGUAAUACGUAGGUGGCGAGCGUUGUCCGGAUUUACUGGGCGUAAAGGGUGCGUAGGCGGAUGUUUAAGUGAGAUGUGAAAUACCCGGGCUUAACUUGGGUGCUGCAUUUCAAACUGGAUAUCUAGAGUGCAGGAGAGGAGAAUGGAAUUCCUAGUGUAGCGGUGAAAUGCGUAGAGAUUAGGAAGAACACCAGUGGCGAAGGCGAUUCUCUGGACUGUAACUGACGCUGAGGCACGAAAGCGUGGGUAGCAAACAGGAUUAGAUACCCUGGUAGUCCACGCCGUAAACGAUGAGUACUAGGUGUAGGAGGUAUCGACCCCUUCUGUGCCGCAGUAAACACAUUAAGUACUCCGCCUGGGAAGUACGAUCGCAAGAUUAAAACUCUAAAGUGAAUUGACGGGGUC
rnacentral:rRNA from 1 species